CUCGUUCUCUCCACCCACUGCUCUCUGGUUGGUGUGUUUGUUUGACGCCAGUACAUUGGGAUAAGGGUGCUGGCUUCUCCUAUCAAUGGGUUCAGCAGUGGCUGUUUGUGUAUUUCUUUAAAAAAACGUGAUCAACUUAAUAAAACCUGGGAUGGGUGUAAGAGGGUCCACAGAGGCAUGAUCUCUGCUAUAUCAUUUAAUAUUUGUUGGCCAAAUGGAGCUAUGUCCUUGCAAAUCCACCAAAUGUGUUCCAUAUCCCCCUGCUCCCCGUCAC